GUCGUAACAAGGUUUCCGUAGGUGAACCUGCGGAANGAUCAUUACCUAGAGUUUGUAGACUUCGGUCUGCUACCUCUUACCCAUGUCUUUUGAGUACCUUCGUUUCCUCGGCGGGUCCGCCCGCCGAUUGGACAACAUUCAAACCCUUUGCAGUUGCAAUCAGCGUCUGAAAAAACAUAAUAGUUACAACUUUCAACAACGGAUCUCUUGGUUCUGGCAUCGAUGAAGAACGCAGCGAAAUGCGAUGAGUAGUGUGAAUUGCAGAAUUCAGUGAAUCAUCGAAUCUUUGAACGCACAUUGCGCCCCUUGGUAUUCCAUGGGGCAUGCCUGUUCGAGCGUCAUUUGUACCUUCAAGCUCUGCUUGGUGUUGGGUGUUUGUCUCGCCUCUGCGUGUAGACUCGCCUUAAAACAAUUGGCAGCCGGCGUAUUGAUUUCGGAGCGCAGUACAUCUCGCGCUUUGCACUCAUAACGACGACGUCCAAAAGUACAUUUUUACACUCUUGACCUCGGAUCAGGUAGGGAUACCCGCUGAACUUAAGCAUAUC
rnacentral:rRNA from 1 species